AUCGCUCGCGAUGUUUAACUGACAUGCUCGUGAGACGUCCUACCGGUGGACUUAGCUACUCACGUGGCGGUCCAACUAAUAUCCCAUCGCGGUGCUCUUAAUUGAGUGUCGAGGUGGGCCGGUACGUUUACUUUGAACAAAUUAGAGUGCUUAAAGCAGGCUUACCUUUGCCUGAAUAUUCUGUGCAUGGAAUAAUGGAAUAGGACCUCGGUUC
rnacentral:rRNA from 1 species